UAUUCUAACAUAAGAGAUCCUACAUUACAUUGUGAGAGACCACUCGAUCAUCACUAUUGUGUACAAUACAUAGAUGAUUAUGAUUGGUACGUUAGACCUCUCAAGCUCAAUCCAGGCUGUUGAAAAGCGCAACUCCCUCGUAGCAACUUUAUUACAAUCUGCUUAUUGGAAGAGGUUCACUAUUUAACAAUGAGAUGGAUCAUGUUAUCCAUGAGGUCUGCAACUCUAGAUAAAUAGAGGCUAUG
rnacentral:lncRNA from 1 species